CUUCCGCUCUCCGCUCUUCAGCCAUCUAGCCCACAGUUUGUUUCAAGCCUUAAAAAUGAACUUGAGCUCAUUAGAAAACCAUUUUAAAAACCGCUUUCUCCGCCAUGGGACAGUCUCUCAGACGACUGAAGCAGAGCACGGGGCCCAUUGCCAGAACCUGCCCGGAUGUCCUCUACAACAGCCUCAAUGGAGGAAGCCCUGAGUCAGAGCACCGCUGGAGCAGUAUUUGCAUUUCCGACCCUGGAGCAGUAUUUGCAUUUCCGACCCACGGGAGCCGUGAGAUUGUAUUUGCUGCAAGCACACCACAAUUAUUCAUUAUGUAG